CCUACGGGAGGCAGCAGUGAGGAAUCUUGCGCAAUGGGGGAAACCCUGACGCAGCAACGCCGCGUGGGUGAAGAAGGCCUUCGGGUUGUAAAGCCCUGUCGGGUGGGAAAAAAGAUACAGGGUGAAUAGCUUUGUGUCCUGAUGGUACCACCGGAGGAAGCACCGGCUAACUCCGUGCCAGCAGCCGCGGUAAUACGGAGGGUGCAAGCGUUGUUCGGAUUUACUGGGCGUAAAGGGCGCGUAGGCGGCUUGGUAAGUCGGGUGUGAAAUCCUUCCGCUUAACGGAAGAAGUGCACCCGAAACUGCCUUGCUCGAGUUUAGGAGAGGAGAGCGGAAUUCCCGGUGUAGAGGUGAAAUUCGUAGAUAUCGGGAGGAACACCCGUGGCGAAAGCGGCUCUCUGGCCUAAUACUGACGCUGAGGCGCGAAAGCGUGGGGAGCAAACAGGAUUAGAUACCCUUGU
rnacentral:rRNA from 1 species